UGGGGGAUAUUGCACAAUGGGCGAAAGCCUGAUGCAGCGACGCCGCGUGGGGGAUGAAGGCCUUCGGGUUGUAAACUUCUUUUACUCUGAACAAGGCGCACCAUGGGGUGUGUUGAGUGUAGGGGUUGAUUAGCGCCGGCUAACUACGUGCCAGCAGCCGCGGUAAUACGUAGGGCGCGAGCGUUGUCCGGAAUUAUUGGGCGUAAAGGGCUUGUAGGUGGCUGGUUGCGUCUGUCGUGAAAGCUCAUGGCUUAACUGUGGGUUUGCGGUGGGUACGGGCUGGCGUGAGUGCAGUAGGUGAGGCUGGAAUUCCUGGUGUAGCGGUGGAAUGCGCAGAUAUCAGGAGGAAUACCGGUGGCGAAGGCGGGUCUCUGGGCUGUUACUGACACUGAGGAGCGAAAGCAUGGGGAGCGAACAGG
rnacentral:rRNA from 1 species